GCCGGGAUAGCUCAGUUGGUAGAGCAGAGGACUGAAAAUCCUCGUGUCCGGGGUUCAAAUCCCCGUCCUGGCA
rnacentral:tRNA from 10 species